rnacentral:rRNA from 1 species
AUUGAACGCUGGCGGCAUGCCUUACACAUGCAAGUCGAACGGCAGCACGGGAGCAAUCCUGGUGGCGAGUGGCGAACGGGUGAGUAAUAUAUCGGAACGUGCCCAGUCGUGGGGGAUAACGCAGCGAAAGCUGUGCUAAUACCGCAUACGAUCUCUGGAUGAAAGCGGGGGACUCGCAAGAGCCUCGCGCGAUUGGAGCGGCCGAUAUCAGAUUAGCUAGUUGGUGGGGUAAAAGCUCACCAAGGCGACGAUCUGUAGCUGGUCUGAGAGGACGACCAGCCACACUGGAACUGAGACACGGUCCAGACUCCUACGGGAGGCAGCAGUGGGGAAUUUUGGACAAUGGGCGCAAGCCUGAUCCAGCAAUGCCGCGUGCAGGAUGAAGGCCUUCGGGUUGUAAACUGCUUUUGUACGGAACGAAACGGUUCG